GAGGACGUGCUCCAUCAAAAUGAGAGAGUAAACCAAGAAAGUGGAAAACAGAGAAUCCAGGAAACAGGGGAUGCAACAGAAGAGAGAGCAGGUAGUCGAUUAUAUGAUGCUUAAAGCUGAAACAUCAAGAUAAAGCUAAAAGAGUUGAAGGUGGCUGCCUCUGGGACAAGGGAUCAGCACCAGAGGGAGAUGACCUCAGCAAAGGACAUCGAACCUGUGGGAGCACCUGUGAGGCAAGAAGUCCUCUGCCCUCUACCCUCACCCUCCCCAGCCAUCACAGUGCGGUGGCAGACAGGCCCUGUGAGCGGCAGGCACCUGUCAGUGCCAGAGUCCUCCCAGCAGGCCUGGUGGCCCUGGUGAAGGGGUCAGCUUGGGAGAGACGAAGCUUCUUGGGAUGGAGCUGGGUGGGAGAGGUGGAGAGGAGGACUUCAUGGCUACAUAGUACAUUACAAUCAUGCCUGUGAAUAGUCACUGCACUCCAGCCUUGAAGGGAGAUGGGGCAGGGGGUGAUGGAGAAACUUCCUUGCAACAUGGACCUGAGUGGAUCCCACCCUCCUGACACCCAAUGGGAAUGUUAAUAUGGCUCAGCUUGC